rnacentral:tRNA from 1 species
GCCUGGCUGGCUUAGUUGGUGGAGCGUGUGACUCUUGAUCUCAGGAUUGUGAGUUCAAGCCCCACAUUGGGUG